CUCAUCCCGCACCCUCUCUCCCUCUCCGGCCUCCACCGCGCCCUCCCUUCCGCUCCAGCCCGGCGAGCAGGGGCGGGCGCGCGCGGCAGCCGCGGCUCCCUCCGCUCGCGCCGGCCGCGGCGGCGUGCGACCCGUGGCAUGCGCGACAGCCCUCCGUGGCGUGCAGCGGCGGCCCGUGGUCGGCGGAGGCAGCUCGGUGGCGGGCGACGGCUCGGUGGCGGCGGCCAUGGCGAGCGCGGCGGCCCGGCGAUUGCACGGCGAGACAAGUGCAUCCAGGUCUUUCCGUUGAUUCUGAUUCACAGCCGCAGCUGCAAUGCAAGAACCACAGCCGCUAGGCGGCUUCCCGUAAAGGAAGCUGCCUGCCUCCGCCAUGGCGGUCGCACUCGCACCAGAGCAGAGCAGCGGCUUGCAGACCAGAGCCUCGACGGAACAGCAGGCAGCCGAAUCUUUUCCGGAGAUGGCAGUCCAGCGGCGUCCGGCGGAGGUUUUACAGGAAAAGCCGCCGGCGGCAAGGGACAAAUGGAUGGUCCUCCAACAAGUUGCAAGGGGACAAAUGGAUCCGCCGACCUCACCUUCUUUCGGGUCAUCAGGGAACCUUUCUAUUUUUAUCUUCAUGGAUUGAAGCACUCGAACCAGUUGCCAAGUCUCAGUGAACUUUCAGCAGAUUUACAGUGCCAAGCAGGUCAUCAGCAGAUUGCCAAGCACUCGAACCAGUAGUUUUUAUUUAAAAUUGUUGUAUACCAUUGGGCAUGUUUUAGCCUGAGUCAGCAAGGUUGAGCACCUUGUAUAGUUCAGCAAGAUUUACAGUGCUUCCUGGUGUAAAUCCUUCAACUGCACAAAGUUUAGUGUAUUGUUCAACUGAUGCCAGUUGUAUGACAGUCACUAUGACAGUAGCAUUUCUAUCUUACACAAGAUGUACAGAGUUCCAAUCAAAUAUGCAAAGUUCAGAACUUGCACAGUGCAUGUUCAGAACUUGCACUAGGGAUGUUCUGAAUAUGAAUAAAUUUGCACAACCUGAACGAGACACAA